GCCACCCUAGCUCAGCUGGUAGAGCAGCUCACUCGUAAUGAGCAGGUCGUCGGUUCGAGUCCGACGGGUGGCUCCA
rnacentral:tRNA from 1 species